UCCAAUCAGGUGAACAAGGUGCCUCCAGC
rnacentral:piRNA from 1 species